UUAUUUAGUUUUUCUGCUCAUGGUUUUAUAUAAAUAGCCGCAGAAUUUAACUGUGCUAAGGUAGCAUAAUCAUUAGUUUUUUAAUUAAAAACUAGAAUGAACGAAAUAACAAUUCAACAACUUUUUUAAUUUUAAUUAUAAAAAUUUUAUUAAAUAUAAAAAUAUAUUUAUAAAUAAGAAAGACGACAAGACCCUAUCAAACUUUACUUUAGUUUAGCUGGGGCAGCUAAUUAAAAAUAAUUUUAAUACUAAUAUUUUUAUAAAAGACCCAAUAUAAUUGAUUAAAUGAACAAGUUACUGUAGGGAUAACAGCGUUAAAUUUUUUUGAAGUUCUUAUUUAAAAAAAAGAUUGCGACCUCGAUGUUGAAUUAUUUAACUUUAAAAAGCAAAAUUUUUAUAAGUAGGCCUGUUCGGCCUUUAAAUUUUU
rnacentral:rRNA from 1 species